GACGAGUGGCGGACGGGUGAGUAACGCGUGGGUAACCUGCCUUGUACAGGGGGAUAACAGUUGGAAACGGCUGCUAAUACCGCAUAAGCGCACAGCAUCGCAUGAUGCAGUGUGAAAAACUCCGGUGGUAUAAGAUGGACCCGCGUUGGAUUAGCUAGUUGGCAGGGUAACGGCCUACCAAGGCGACGAUACAUAGCCGACCUGAGAGGGUGACCGGCCACAUUGGGACUGAGACACGGCCCAGACUCC
rnacentral:rRNA from 1 species